rnacentral:rRNA from 1 species
UACAGAGGUCUCAAGCGUUGUUCGGAUUCAUUGGGCGUAAAGGGUGCGUAGGCGGCGCGGUAAGUCGGGUGUGAAAUCUCCGGGCUUAACUCGGAACGGUCAAGUGAUACUGUCGCGCUAGAGUGCGGAAGGGGCAAUCAGAAUUCUUGGUGUAGCGGUGAAAUGCGUAGAUAUCAAGAGGAAUACCUGAGGUGAAGACGGGUUGCUAGGCCGACACUGACGCUGAAGCGCGAAAGCCAGGGGAGCAAACGGG